UACGUAGGGUGCAAGCGUUAAUCGGAAUUACUGGGCGUAAAGCGUGCGCAGGCGGUUAUGCAAGACAGAUGUGAAAUCCCCGGGCUUAACCUGGGAACCGCAUUUGUGACUGCAUAGCUGGAGUACGGCAGAGGGGGAUGGAAUUCCGCGUGUAGCGGUGAAAUGCGUAGAUAUGCGGAGGAACACCGAUGGCGAAGGCAGUCCCCUGGGCCUGUACUGACGCUCAUGCACGAAAGCGUGGGGAGCAAACAGG
rnacentral:rRNA from 1 species